ACGGGUGCGUAACGCGUGGGAAUCUGCCCUUGGGUUCGGGAUAACAGUUGGAAACGACUGCUAAUACCGGAUGAUGACUUCGGUCCAAAGAUUUAUCGCCCAGGGAUGAGCCCGCGUAGGAUUAGCUAGUUGGUGAGGUAAAGGCUCACCAAGGCGACGAUCCUUAGCUGGUCUGAGAGGAUGAUCAGCCACACUGGGACUGAGACACGGCCCAGACUCCUACGGGAGGCAGCAGUGGGGAAUAUUGGACAAUGGGCGAAAGCCUGAUCCAGCAAUGCCGCGUGAGUGAUGAAGGCCUUAGGGUUGUAAAGCUCUUUUACCCGGGAUGAUAAUGACAGUACCGGGAGGAUAAGCCCCGGCUAACUCCGUGCCAGCAGCCGCGGUAAUACGGAGGGGGCUAGCGUUGUUCGGAAUUACUGGGCGUAAAGCGCGCGUAGGCGGCUUUGUAAGUUAGAGGUGAAAGCCCGGAGCUCAACUCCGGAACUGCCUUUAAGACUGCAUCGCUAGAAUCAUGGAGAGGUGAGUGGAAUUCCGAGUGUAGAGGUGAAAUUCGUAGA
rnacentral:rRNA from 1 species